GAUAAACGCUGGCGGCGUGCCUUAUGCAUGCAAGUCGUACGGGCCUUACAGUUAGGGAUGAUCCGGCUAGACCGGGGUAUUCCCGUCAUGCUGUAGGGUCAGUGGCGAACGGGUGAGUAACGCGUAAGUGACCUAGCGAGGAGUGGGGGAUAACCUUGCGAAAGUGGGGCUAAUACCGCAUGAGUUCCCUGGAGACAUACUGGGGAAGAAAGCCUGCGAGGGUGCUCCUUGGGGGGCUUGCGUCCGAUUAGCUAGUUGGUGGGGUAAGGGCCUACCAAGGCAGAGAUCGGUAGCUGGUUUGAGAGGAUGGUCAGCCACACUGGGACUGAGACACGGUCCAGACUCCUACGGGAGGCAGCAGCAAGGAAUUUUGCGCAAUGGGCGAAAGCCUGACGCAGCAACGCCGCGUGGGGGAAGAAGGCUUUCGGGUUGUAAACCCCUUUUGCUGGGGAAGAAGCAAGUGACGGUACCCAGCGAAUAAGCCUCGGCUAACUACGUGCCAGCAGCCGCGGUAAAACGUAGGAGGCGAGCGUUGUCCGGAAUUACUGGGCGUAAAGGGCGUGUAGGCGGUCGGUCAAGUUAGCUGUGAAAUCUCCUGGCUCAACUGGGAGGGUGCGGUUAAUACUGGCUGGCUAGAGUGCAGCAGAGGGAAGUGGAAUUCCCGGUGUAGUGGUGAUAUGCGUAGAUAUCGGGAGGAACACCAGUGGCGAAGGCGGCUUCCUGGGCUGCAACUGACGCUGAGGCGCGAAAGCGUGGGGAGCGAACCGGAUUAGAUACCCGGGUAGUCCACGCCGUAAACGAUGGACACUAGGUGUGGGAGGCAUCGACCCCUUCUGUGCCGCAGCUAACGCAAUAAGUGUCCCGCCUGGGGAUUACGGCCGCAAGGCUA
rnacentral:rRNA from 1 species